rnacentral:rRNA from 1 species
UACGUAGGGUGCAAGCGUUAAUCGGAAUUACUGGGCGUAAAGCGUGCGCAGGCGGUUUUGUAAGUUUGUCGUGAAAGCCCCGGGCUUAACCCGGGAAUGGCAUUGGAAACUGCCGGUCUGGAGGAUCGGAGGGGGGACUGGAAUUCUUGGUGUAGCAGUGAAAUGCGUAGAUAUCAAGAGGAACACCAGUGGCGAAGGCGAGUCCCUGGACGAUACCUGACACUGAGGCACGAAAGCCCAGGGAGCAAACAGG